AAAUUAUCAUGAUGUAACUUGUUAAAAACAAGUUUCAAGGAAAAGAAAUAGAAAAGUUGUGUCAGGUAUAGGGAAUAGAGAGAGAAUAUUUAUUCUCCCCUAUAAAUUGUUAGCUUUCCAACAGGGCCUAGUAAACAGAGAGGAGGGUACUAAGUUCAGCUGUACAAGGACAGAAGUUUGAUCUUUAUCAGACUGACGUGGGCAGAGGUGCCUCAACAUAUCCUGCUGAAUCUGAUCUUCUCCUUCAUUUUUUGAAAUCACAGAGAGGUCUGGGAUUUAAAUGAUGGUUCUGCUGCACCUGUUCAGUCUCUUACUCCUAGAGCAAGCAUUCAUCGGAUACUGCUUAGAGUCACAAGAAAAUGAACAGCAACCACUGAUAGGUUCUGCCAUUCCUUGCCAGGGUUCUUGGAUAGCUGGAUUGCAUGGAAGAGAUGGACGAGAUGGGAGGGAUGGACUCAAGGGAGAAAAGGGAGACCCAGGUGAAAUACCUAGCUGCCCCCAGGUACAUUCACCACAGUUUGGACAUCCAGGAAUUCCAGGUCCACCAGGACUUCCAGGCAUCCAGGGCAGGAAAGGAGAACCAGGCGGUAAGGAAUUCUAUUCCUUCUAUCUUUUUUUUAUUAUAGCUUUUUAUUUACGAGUUAUAUGCAUGGGUAAUUUUUCAGCAUUGAAAAUUGCCAAAUCUUUUGUUCCAAUUUUUCCCUCCUUCCCCUAUCCCCUCCCCCUGAUGGCAGGUUGACCAACACAUGUUAAAUAUGUUAAAGUAUAAAUUAAAUACAAUAUAUGUAUACAUGUCCAAACGGUUAUUUUGCUGUACAAAAAGAAUUGGACUUUGAAAUAAUGUACAAUUCACCUGUGAAGGAAAUAAAAAAUGCAGGUGGACAAAAAUAGAGGGUUGGAAAUUCUAUGUAGUGUUUCAUAGUCAUCUCCCAGAAUUCUUUCACUGUGUGUAGCUGGUUCAAUUCAUUACUGCUCUAUUGGAACUGAUUUGGUUCAUCUCAUUGUUGAAGAUGGCCCGGUCCAUCAGAAUUGAUCAUCAUAUAGUAUUGUUGUUGAAGUAUAUAAUGAUCUCCUGGUCCUGCUUAUUUCACUCAGCAUCACUUCAUAUAAGUCUCUCCACGCCUUUCUGAAA
rnacentral:lncRNA from 1 species